ACGGAAGGCAGCAGUGGGGAAUAUUGGGCAAUGGACGAAAGUCUGACCCAGCGACGCCGCGUGAGGGAAGAAGGUCUUCGGAUUGUAAACCUUAGUCAACAGGGGAGAAGCAAGUGACGGUACCUGUGGAGGAAGCCACGGCUAACUACGUGCCAGCAGCCGCGGUAAUACGUAGGUGGCGAGCGUUAUCCGGAUUUACUGGGUGUAAAGGGUGUGUAGGCGGGACUGCAAGUCAGAUGUGAAAAUUAUGGGCUUAACCCAUAACCUGCAUUUGAAACUGUGGUUCUUGAGUGUGGGAGAGGUAGGCGGAAUUCCCGGUGUAGCAGUGAAAUGCGUAGAUAUCGGGAGGAACACCAGUGGCGAAGGCGGCUUACUGGACCACAACUGACGCUGAGACACGAAAGCGUGGGGAGCAAACAGGAUUAGAUACCCUGGUA
rnacentral:rRNA from 1 species